AAAAAUCACAAUUGUAAGUCGCUUUGGAUAAGAGCGUCUGCUAAAUGACUAAAA
rfam:Salmo salar isolate Sally breed double haploid chromosome ssa23, whole genome shotgun sequence.